UACGGGGGGGCAAGCGUUGUUCGGAAUUACUGGGCGUAAAGGGCUCGUAGGCGGCCAACUAAGUCGGAUGUGAAAUCCCCAGGCUUAACCUGGGAACUGCAUCCGAUACUGGAUGGCUUGAAUCCGGGAGAGGGAUGCAGAAUUCCAGGUGUAGCGGUGAAAUGCGUAGAUAUUAGGAAGAACACCAGUGGCGAAGGCGGCUCACUGGUCCGGUACUGACGCUGAGGCGCGAAAGCGUGGGGAGCAAACAGG
rnacentral:rRNA from 1 species